AACGAACGCUGGCGGCGUGUUUAAGACAUGCAAGUCGCACGGGAUAAGACAUGUAGUAAUACUUGUUUUAUUUAGUGGCGCACGGGUGAGUAACACGUGAAUUACAUGCCCUAUAGUGGGGAAUAGCCCAGGGAAACUUGGAUUAAUACCACAUGGUAUCGAAAGAUUAAAGGUGGCCGCAAGGCUGUCGCUAUAGGAUUGGAUCGCGCCCUAGCAGCUUGUUGGUGAGGUAACGGCCCACCAAGGAAAUGACGGGUACCUGGUCUGAGAGGACGAUCAGGCACACUGGAACUGAGACACGGUCCAGACACCUACGGGUGGCAGCAGUCGAGAAUAAUUCACAAUGGGGGCAACCCUGAUGGUGCAACGCCGCGUGGAGGAUGACGGUCUUCGGAUUGUAAACUCCUGUCAUCUGGAGAAAGACCUGACGGUAAAUAGCCGGCAGGGUUGAUAGUACCAGAAGAGGAAGGGACGGCUAACUUCGUGCCAGCAGCCGCCGUAA
rnacentral:rRNA from 1 species